UUCUCAAGACCCGAAAAGUGAGAGAGAGAAAGAGAGGUUUGCCCGAAUUCUUCCUAGCUCAGCAGUGCCCUAGCUUUGCCGACCGGAUGCCUUCCCGACCUUGGCUUGACGAACCAGUAUUGUCCGAGACAACCUUGACGCGGUCUUCUCCUUCCAUGGCGAUUCCGUUCAAGUUUGGUGGCCUAGAUUGGAGUGGACGGAUCAAGAGGGAGCUAUCCUUGGCGGUGACACAUUGGUGUGGACGAGCUAGAGACUAGAUAAUUGGAUGAUUCCAUUGAUCGAUCGAAACAAGCCGAAUCCGAUAAGGAUCGUAUGUACAGUCGUGCUUAGCAGAAGAGGUAACUUCCAACUGUUCACGAAGGAGACUAAGUAUUGUCACUCGCAAGCUUUCUUGAAAUCGAGUAAGCCUUAUAUGGGUCGAAAAAAAAGAAACCCGAGACUACAUUCUUUUUCGAGGUGAAAACUGCAGGUCGAAUUUCGGCAAACUUAUAUCAUGUGGUUUGCGUCCAGGGUAAAUUCGUCAACCUAUUCCCAUGCUCAAAAGUAGAAAAGAGGGAAAGGCCAGAAACACCAUAUCUGUCAAUGGAUACAUACGUGAUGUUACUCCUUCCCAAUGUUUAAUUACUUGAAGAAACUUUUCCGUAUUCAAAUACACCCUUUUUAAUAUAUGCAUAUGUUCAUAAUUCCUUGGAGGCUGCUAAUAUUUAUCAUCAUAAAAGGAAAAAAAAAGUAAAAAGAAAAUUCCGUGUGGAGCAAUGCAUUUUCCAGUGAUUUGUUGGCUGCUUCAGUGCGGGAUUGAAUCCUUUUUUUUUUUUGGGCACUGAAUGCGGACUUUAAUGUUCAACUUUACCCUUUUGAUGAAUUCUUAUAAAUCAAUCACAUUGUAAUAUAUAACAAAAAUUUAAAAGUUAAAAAAUUACAUAAUUGAAUUGGGUUUGCCACUUUACUAUAGAUCGAGUUGGAAAUAACCAGCAGAUGUUCCAGUUAAUGAUGGUAGCGACAUGUAAAUCGUCUGGAUUUAGUUUCCGUUGCGAGCUCUAUGAUCAAUUUGUGUAUAAUUUUACUGUUAUGAUUCAUUUUAUUUAUUUAAUUAGUCUUUUUGAUAUUAAAAAGGUGAACAAUAAAGGCUUUAAAAUGGCCGAAUCAUCUAAAUAUUUUGAUAGGAUCUACAUGUCAUAUAUAAAAAGAGGCUUUAAAAUGGCCGAAGGGUCUACAUGACAUAUUUACGAGGUAGAAUCUCGAUCAAUUUUAUUACGUUUCCGCAAAUCUUUGAGAUAUUAUUUCGACUAUGUAUGGAUCCCCCUUCCUAUAGGAUGGCUGAUGUUGGAAAGAGAGGUUAGAAAUAAAGGCAAGAAGAGAGGAUGGUCACCAUGUUGCAGACUUGUAGCCAUCAAGAGGUCAUUGGUACCAACAGGACCCUCAUUACACAGUUAUGUAUCUAUCCAUUUAUUAAAGAAAAAAAAAAGAAUAAAUUAUACAUAUUUCAUGAACUAAA